CAAAAACAUCGCCUCCUGCAAAAAUCAAUGUAUAGGAGGUCCUGCCUGCCCAGUGACAAUCAGUUAAACGGCCGCGGUAUUUUGACCGUGCUAAGGUAGCGCAAUCACUUGUCUUUUAAAUGAGGACCUGUAUGAAUGGCGAAACGAGGGCUUAACUGUCUCCUUUUUCCAGUCAAUGAAAUUGAUCUGCCCGUGCAGAAGCGGGCAUACCUAUACAAGACGAGAAGACCCUUUGGAGCUUAAGAUAAAAGGUCAACUAGGUCAAGAGCCCAAAUAAAUUUGAACUAAACAAACAGCUAACUGACCACUAUCUUCGGUUGGGGCGACCACGGGGGAAAACAAAGCCCCCGCGUAGAAUGGGGAUCACACCCUAAAACCAAGAGGGACACCUCUAAGUCACAGAAUAUCUGACUAUACAGAUCCGGCCAAUAAGCCGAUCAACGGACCAAGUUACCCUAGGGAUAACAGCGCAAUCCCCUCCAAGAGUUCAUAUCGACAAGGGGGUUUACGACCUCGAUGUUGGAUCAGGACAUCCUAAUGGUGCAGCCGCUAUUAAGGGUUCGUUUGUUCAACGAUUAAAGUCCUACGUGAUCUGAG
rnacentral:rRNA from 1 species